rnacentral:tRNA from 1 species
UGAUAGCUUAGUCGGUAUAGCGCGGGAUUCGUAAUCCUGAGAUCGCGGGUUCAAUUCCCGCUCG